GACGAAGGAUGCAAGCGUUAUCCGGAUUCAUUGGGUUUAAAGGGAGCGUAGGUGGCCUUAUAAGUCAGUGGUGAAAUCUCUGGGCUUAACCCAGAAAUUGCCAUUGAUACUGUAGGGCUUGAGUAUAGUUGCCGUUGGCGGAAUAUGACAUGUAGUGGUGAAAUACAUAGAGAUGUCAUAGAACACCGAUUGCGAAGGCAGCUAACGAAACUAUAACUGACGCUGAGGCACGAAAGUGUGGGGAUCAAACAGG
rnacentral:rRNA from 1 species